UCUUCCAUAGUUGCUUGGAGUCCCAGAUGUUGCAGUGAUGGACCGGAUGUGUCCUCUGAUGGUUCGUUGGUGUGCAUAUUGACUGAAACAUGUUAUUAGCACACAGCAGACAUGCGCCUCCACAGAGAGCGAGCACCGCAGAAGACCAGCCGAUGUAGAGGCCUUGACCAAUCUCAUACCUGCCACACACAGUGUGUCUCAUUAUCUGCAUAAUAAACAAUAUUUAACUAUU